ACGCGGCAAAAGCUCAAAUUUGAAAUCUGGCACCUUCGGUGUCCGAGUUGUAAUUUGAAGAAGGUAACUUUGGAGUUGGCUCUUGUCUAUGUUCCUUGGAACAGGACGUCACAGAGGGUGAGAAUCCCGUGCGAUGAGAUGCCCAAUUCUAUGUAAAGUGCUUUCGAAGAGUCGAGUUGUUUGGGAAUGCAGCUCUAAGUGGGUGGUAAAUUCCAUCUAAAGCUAAAUAUUGGCGAGAGACCGAUAGCGAACAAGUACAGUGAUGGAAAGAUGAAAAGAACUUUGAAAAGAGAGUGAAAAAGUACGUGAAAUUGUUGAAAGGGAAGGGCUUGAGAUCAGACUUGGUAUUUUGCGAUCCUUUCCUUCUUGGUUGGGUUCCUCGCAGCUUACUGGGCCAGCAUCGGUUUGGAUGGUAGGAUAAUGACUAAGGAAUGUGGCUCUACUUCGGUGGAGUGUUAUAGCCUUGGUUGAUACUGCCUGUCUAGACCGAGGACUGCGUCUUUGACUAGGAUGUUGGCAUAAUGAUCUUAAGCCACCCGUCUUGAAACACGGACCCA
rnacentral:rRNA from 1 species